ACAGCAGUCGCCGCGGUAAAACGGAGGGUGCAAGCGUUAAUCGGAAUUACUGGGCGUAAAGCGCACGCAGGCGGUCUGACAAGUCAGAUGUGAAAUCCCCGGGCUUAACCUGGGAACUGCAUUUGAAACUGUCAGGCUGGAGUCUUGUAGAGGGGGGUGGAAUUCCAGGUGUAGCGGUGAAAUGCGUAGAGAUCUGGAGGAAUACCGGUGGCGAAGGCGGCCCCCUGGACAAAGACUGACGCUCAGGUGCGAAAGCGUGGGGAGCAAACAGGAUUAGAUACCCGGGUAGUCCCUGUCUCUUAUAC
rnacentral:rRNA from 1 species